CCCCUAGUAACUGCGAGUGAAGCGGGAAAAGCUCAAAUUUAAAAUCUGGCGGUCUUCGGCCGUCCGAGUUGUAGUCUGGAGAAGUGUUUUCCGCGUUGGACCGUGUACAAGUUUCCUGGAACGGAGCGUCGUAGAGGGUGAGAAUCCCGUCUUUGACACGGACCCCAAUGCUUUGUGAUGCGCUCUCAAAGAGUCGAGUUGUUUGGGAAUGCAGCUCAAAAUGGGUGGUGAAUUCCAUCUAAAGCUAAAUAUUGGCGAGAGACCGAUAGCGAACAAGUACCGUGAGGGAAAGAUGAAAAGCACUUUGGAAAGAGAGUUAAACAGUACGUGAAAUUGUUGAAAGGGAAACGCUUGAAGUCAGUCGCGUCGUCCGGGACUCAGCCUUGCUUCCGCUUGGUGUACUUUCCGGUCGACGGGCCAGCAUCAAUUUUGACCGCGAGAUAAAGUCGGAGGAAAUGUGGCUCUUUCGGGAGUGUUAUAGUCCUUUGUCGCAUGUCGCGGUUGGGAUUGAGGAACUCAGCACGCCUUUAUGGCCGGGGUUCGCCCACGUUCGUGCUUAGGAUGCUGGCGUAAUGGCUUUAAACGACCCGUCUUGAAACACGGACCAAGGAGUCUAACAUGCCUGCGAGUGUUCGGGUGGAAAACCCGUGCGCACAAUGAAAGUGAAAGUUGGGAACCCUGUCGUGGGGUGCACCGACGCCCGGACCAGAACUUCUGUGACGGAUCUGCGGUAGAGCAUGUAUGUUGGGACCCGAAAGAUGGUGAACUAUGCCUGAAUAGGGUGAAGCCAGAGGAAACUCUGGUGGAGGCUCGUAGCGAUUCUGACGUGCAAAUCGAUCGUCAAAUUUGGGUAUAGGGGCGAAAGACUAAUCGA
rnacentral:rRNA from 1 species